rnacentral:rRNA from 1 species
GAUGAACGCUGGCUACAGGCUUAACACAUGCAAGUCGAGGGGAAACGACGGGGAAGCUUGCUUCCCCGGGCGUCGACCGGCGCACGGGUGAGUAACGCGUAUCCAACCUGCCUCUGACUGAGGGAUAACCCGUCGAAAGUCGGCCUAAUACCUCAUGGCAUCGUCUGCGGGCAUCCAACGACGAUUAAAGAUUUCAUCGGUCAGGGAUGGGGAUGCGUCUGAUUAGCUUGUUGGCGGGGUAACGGCCCACCAAGGCUACGAUCAGUAGGGGUUCUGAGAGGAAGGUCCCCCACAUUGGAACUGAGACACGGUCCAAACUCCUACGGGAGGCAGCAGUGAGGAAUAUUGGUCAAUGGGCGGGAGCCUGAACCAGCCAAGUAGCGUGCAGGAUGACGGCCCUAUGGGUUGUAAACUGCUUUUAUGCGGGGAGAAAGUGAGGGACGUGUCCUUCAUUGCAGGUACCGCAUGAAUAAGGACCGGCUAAUUCCGUG